UGUCGAACGAUGAUCCCAGCUUGCUGGGGGAUUAGUGGCGAACGGGUGAGUAACACGUGAGUAACCUGCCCUUAACUCUGGGAUAAGCCUGGGAAACCGGGUCUAAUACCGGAUACGACGACCGGCCGCAUGGUCUGGUCGUGGAAAGCUUUAUUGCGGUUUUGGAUGGACUCGCGGCCUAUCAGCUUGUUGGUGAGGUAAUGGCUCACCAAGGCGACGACGGGUAGCCGGCCUGAGAGGGUGACCGGCCACACUGGGACUGAGACACGGCCCAGACUCCUACGGGAGGCAGCAGUGGGGAAUAUUGCACAAUGGGCGAAAGCCUGAUGCAGCGACGCCGCGUGAGGGAUGAAUGCCUUCGGGUUGUAAACCUCUUUCAGUAGGGAAGAAGCGAAAGUGACGGUACCUGCAGAAGAAGCGCCGGCUAACUACGUGCCAGCAGCCGCGGUAAUACGUAGGGCGCAAGCGUUAUCCGGAAUUAUUGGGCGUAAAGAGCUCGUAGGCGGUUUGUCGCGUCUGCUGUGAAAGCCCGGGGCUCAACCCCGGGUCUGCAGUGGGUACGGGCAGACUAGAGUGCAGUAGGGGAGACUGGAAUUCCUGGUGUAGCGGUGAAAUGCGCAGAUAUCAGGAGGAACACCGAUGGCGAAGGCAGGUCUCUGGGCUGUAACUGACGCUGAGGAGCGAAAGCAUGGGGAGCGAACAGGAUUAGAUACCCUGGUAGUCCAUGCCGUAAACGUUGGGCACUAGAUGUGGGGGACAUUCCACGUUUUCCGCGUCGUAGCUAACGCAUUAAGUGCCCCGCCUGGGGAGUACGGCCGCAAGGCUAAAACUCAAAGGAAU
rnacentral:rRNA from 1 species